rnacentral:rRNA from 1 species
AACGCUAGCUACAGGCUUAACACAUGCAAGUCGAGGGGCAGCAUUUUAGUUUGCUUGCAAACUAAAGAUGGCGACCGGCGCACGGGUGAGUAACACGUAUCCAACCUGCCGAUAACUCGGGGAUAGCCUCUCGAAAGAAAGAUUAAUAUCCGAUGGUAUAUUUUCUCCGCAUGGUGAGAAUAUUAAAGAAUUUCGGUUAUCGAUGGGGAUGCGUUCCAUUAGUUUGUUGGCGGGGUAACGGCCCACCAAGACCACGAUGGAUAGGGGUUCUGAGAGGAAGGUCCCCCACAUUGGAACUGAGACACAGUCCAAACUCCUACGGGAGGCAGCAGUGAGGAAUAUUGGUCAAUGGACGAGAGUCUGAACCAGCCAAGUAGCGUGAAGGAUGACUGCCCUAUGGGUUGUAAACUUCUUUUAUAUGGGAAUAAAGUGUUCCACGUGUGGGAUUUUGUAUGUACCAUAUGAAUAAGGAUCGGCUAACUCCGUGCCAGCAGCCGCGGUAAUACGGAGGAUCCGAGCGUUAUCCGGAUUUAUUGGGUUUAAAGGGAGCGUAGGUGGAUUGUUAAGUCAGUUGUGAAAGUUUGCGGCUCAACCGUAAAAUUGCAGUUGAAACUGGCAGUCUUGAGUACAGUAGAGGUGGGCGGAAUUCGUGGUGUAGCGGUGAAAUGCUUAGAUAUCACGAAGAACUCCGAUUG